UGUGUGUCCCUGUGAUGUGUGUGUGUUGUGUUCGUCCAAUCGUCAGGUCCCCUGGUGAGACCCCCAGCAGGAGUUCACAGCGUCAAGGCAGCUGCUGCAGCUCCCGUAGCGCCUCCCUGUCCUCCACUCGGAGCACUUCCAAAUCUCCCGCAAGACUGAACUCCAAGCACAAGACGGACGGACACAAGGCGUUAGGCACCUCGCUGUCCCCGGGCUCCACCAGCCCCACCGCCUGGCACAACGGGGACCACACCCAGCGAAGCCGCAACGGCAAGGCCAGCAGACUCAACCACGGCGAGGGCGAGAAAGGAAACGAUAAGCUCCACCUCCUGACUGCUAGCUCAGCCAGCAUCCAGUCCACUCUGCUGAGAGAUCACAAGCUCCACAGCGCCCCCAGCAGGACCCAAGCAGGACACAUGUGUACAGCAGGAGAGGCUGGGAGUGUGGAUAACAGGAACACAGCUGUAGGGAGCUCAGUUACCCACACAUCAGGGAGGAGAGGGGGACAGCGAGGUCAGAAUAAGAGCUCCCACUCCCCUGCUCACAGCAGCGACUCGGCCCACUCCCAGCACAACCAUGCUCACAGAGGCAGGAGCUCUCGGCAUCAGAGAAAGUAA
rnacentral:lncRNA from 1 species